UAAACCCAAUGACCUGCGCAACUCCCCCUUAUUACAGGUAUCCUACAAGAAAGUAGGUUGGUAACGGCCAAUUUGAGCUUUAUUGCUUUUUCUGGUAUUAAUGAAACAUUCAUAGUUUUUGAGUUUAGAAUAAAGCCAAGAAAUACGAUAGUUUGUGUUGGUAUUAGCACCGAUUUUUAGGGUUCGUUCUCUUGAGAUUCCGCUAUUUUGUGCGUUGAUUUCCUCAGGCAACCGAGAAAUCAUUUUUUGAGGAGUCCCUUUGUCUUUUGUAAUAUUUAGUUUGUUCAUGCCAGUUUAAGUAUUUGCGUGAUUUGAAUAUAAUUUUAUGUAGUUAUCAUGAAAUAAAUGAUGUUUGAGGC